rnacentral:lncRNA from 10 species
CCUUACUGCACAUGUGUUAAGGAUGGAAUUUUUCUUUUUCUUUUUUUUUUUUUUUUUUUUGAGACAGAGUCUCGCUCUGUAGCCCAGGCUGGAGUGCUGCAGUGGUGUGAUCUCGGCUCACAACAACCUCCGCCUCCCGGGUCCCUGUUCAAGCAAUUCUACUGCCUCAGCCUCCUGAGUAGCUGGAAUUACAGGCAUAUGCCACCAUGCCCAGCUAAUUUUUGUGUUUUUAGUAGAGAUGGGGUCUCACCAUGUUGGCCAAGCUGGUCUUGAACUCCUGACCUUGUGAUCCGCCCACCUCGGCCUCCUAAAGUGUUGGGAUUACAGGCGUGAGCCAGCGUGCCCAGCUCUGGAAUUUUUCAUCAUGGGCAUGUUUAGCAGUAUUUUGUAACCUUGGACCAGAAGGAUUCACAACCAAAUUCUACCAAAUGUGCAAAAAAGAUCUGAUACUAAUUCUAUUAAAACUGUUCCCCAA